rnacentral:rRNA from 1 species
UGCAAGUCGAGCGAAUGGAUUAAGAGCUUGCUCUUAUGAAGUUAGCGGCGGGGGUGAGUAACACGUGGGUAACCUGCCCAUAAGACUGGGAUAACUCCGGGAAACCGGGGCUAAUACCGGAUAACAUUUUGAACCGCAUGGUUCGAAAUUGAAAGGCGGCUUCGGCUGUCACUUAUGGAUGGACCCGCGUCGCAUUAGCUAGUUGGUGAGGUAACGGCUCACCAAGGCAACGAUGCGUAGCCGACCUGAGAGGGUGAUCGGCCACACUGGGACUGAGACACGGCCCAGACUCCUACGGGAGGCAGCAGUAGGGAAUCUUCCGCAAUGGACGAAAGUCUGACGGAGCAACGCCGCGUGAGUGAUGAAGGCUUUCGGGUCGUAAAACUCUGUUGUUAGGGAAGAACAAGUGCUAGUUGAAUAAGCUGGCACCUUGACGGUACCUAACCAGAAAGCCACGGCUAACUACGUGCCAGCAGCCGCGGUAAUACGUAGGUGGCAAGCGUUAUCCGGAAUUAUUGGGCGUAAAGCGCGCGCAGGUGGUUUCUUAAGUCUGAUGUGAAAGCCCACGGCUCAACCGUGGAGGGUCAUUGGAAACUGGGAGACUUGAGUGCAGAAGAGGAAAGUGGAAUUCCAUGUGUAGCGGUGAAAUGCGUAGAGAUAUGGAGGAACACCAGUGGCGAAGGCGACUUUCUGGUCUGUAACUGACACUGAGGCGCGAAAGCGUGGGGGAGCAAAACAGGAUUAGAUACCCUUGGUAGUCCA